UCAUCAGUCAUUAAAUCUUUGUGAUUAUCCCACAACAUUUGUGCUCGGGCCACAUGUAGUCAUUACUAUAGCAAAUUUAUGUUCCUGCGCAGUUUAAUGCUGAUUCAGCAAGCAUACUGUUGCAAUGACUGUCGUCUUCUAGCAAGCCUAGUGCAAGGCAUGCAUCUUUAUACGUUGGACACGUUGUGUAAGAAAAAGUUUGUGAUUAUCCCACAACAUUUGUGCUCGGGCCGGGAAACAUGUAGUCAUUACUAUAGCAAAUUUAUGUUCCUGCGCAGUUUAAUGCUGAUUCAGCAAGCAUACUGUUGCAAUGACUGUCGUCUUCUAGCAAGCCUAGUGCAAGGCAUGCAUCUUUAUACGUUGGACACGUUGUACGCCACAUUUACAUUAAUUGCUAUUGGCUCAGAUUGGCGCGGUAAGCACAAAACAAAGACCUCCCAAAAAAAAAGGACAUAGGUACCCGAAGAGUGGUGUCGGAUGCGCACAUAUCAAGAGUAUACUUUAAUCAGUAUAUGUCAAAUAUACAAACUCUUAACUUACACACUUAUUCCAAACAACUACACAUUAUUGUUGAGUCAACAAACUCAAGUACCCAGCACAUUCCAAGUGCGAUGCAAUAUGAUCGCACUUGAGUGUAGCGGGCACAAUCAAAGCAGUGUCAGCAUAUCCAUGGGAUACUGACCAAGAAAUAUAACACUUGCGCAUACCACACUCCGUCGAAUGGCAACGUGCCAUACAGACAUAUCCACUUAUAUGUAUAUUAUAUACAUUUAGGUACAGCGCUGACGCUGGCUUCUCUGCCGAAGCAGCGUCCAGCCCUUUAUUUAAGUUAGCUCCUAAGAUUUGCGAUCGUUCAGAAAUAAACGGGACCCGAACGAAUUCGGUCACAUCUCAAGAAUCUAUUUUUUCCAUUACUACAGUGGUCAGAUCGGGAUAAAAAAUAGAAGCGCACACCUAAACGAUAAGCACACAAAAUUUCACGAAAAUCGGUCGAGGAGUUUCGGAAGUUUAGCAACAAAGCUUGUGACACGAGAAUUUUAUAUAUUAGAAGAUAUAUGUAUAUCUAUGUAUAUAUAUAAAAGAAAUUCGUGUUAGUUACACCAUUUAUAUCUCAAGAACGGCUGAAAAUUGGUGGGGAGUUCCCGUGUGACAUGACAUAAACGUCAGCACAAAUAGUUUUGUGUCACAGGCUAUAUAUUCAUAUCUAUUGUUUCUGUUACAAAUGAAGAUGAAGUCACCUACUAUCCAACUGAAACAUAAACCAACCUAAACUGUACAUCGGUACGCGUUUGGUGGUAACAAAAUUAAUGAACUCAAAGUAAAAUUCGAAGAUAGAUCGCCACCAUAAAACGGAUGAAUGACGAAUGUCUCGUUUCCAAUGUGUAUGACGCCGCUCACUCCGUUGCAAGUAUGGAAGGCAGCGCUAGCACCUGGAUAGUCCUUCACGGUCCCAUGAAACCCAAAUCGGAAGCGCUUCGUCGAUGGAGGUUCCUGUAAGACGUUUUUUUAGUUAAAUAAAUAAAUUAUCUUCCACCUUUUUGCGUGGCGAUUUCUCUGCAAGUUUGUCAUGGGCGCACACCCAAUUGGUGAGAUGAAGAGAGAGGGUAUCAAAUAGUCAUAGGUGAUUGCUCUCCUCUUGAUUCUUUUCCCUACAUGUCUCGUGCAUCACACCUUCUCUUUUGGUGAAUCGCUAUGCACAGCGGAUGCUCAUAUUAAAUUUUCUUG